rnacentral:rRNA from 1 species
UGUGUAAGCGAAGCGAUAUGUGGAGCGGUGAAAGGCUCAGUAACGGGCGAUUUAUUUGAUCUCCUGGGACGGACAACAUCGGGAAACUGAUGGGAAAACGUCUAAGUUGCAGUUUUUUGAUUGUGACGUAAACCUUUGUGUGCAGGAGAGUAAGAUGCCAUCCUAUCAGUUAGUAAGUAGGGUAAGGGCCUACUUAGACGAAGACGGGUACGGGGAAUGAGGGUUUGAUUCCGGAGAGGGAGCCUGAGAGAUGGCUACCAGGACCAAGGUCAGCAGCAGGCGCGAAAAUUAUCGAAGCCCGCCUAGGGGCGAUAGUGAGGAGACGUGUAUACGAAGUACGUGUAAAGACCGUACUAAUAACUGGAGGUCAAGUCUGGUGCCAGCAGCCGCGG